rnacentral:rRNA from 1 species
AUCCUGGCUCAGGAUGAACGCUAGCGGCAGGCUUAACACAUGCAAGUCGAGGGGCAGCAUGAGGGUUAGCAAUAACCUUUGAUGGCGACCGGCGCAAGGGUGCGUAACGCGUGAGCAACUUGCCCGUUUCUGGGGGAUAACCGGUGGAAACGCCGACUAAUACCCCAUAGUAUUGAUUUCAGGCAUCUGUUAUCAAUUAAAGAAUUUCGGAAACGGAUAGGCUCGCGUGACAUUAGCUAGAUGGCGGGGUAACGGCCCACCAUGGCUACGAUGUCUAGGGGUUCUGAGAGGAAGGUCCCCCACACUGGAACUGAGACACGGUCCAGACUCCUACGGGAGGCAGCAGUGAGGAAUAUUGGUCAAUGGUCUGACGACUGAACCAGCCAUGCCGCGUGAAGGUGACGGCCCUAUGGGUCUUAAACUUCUUUUGUAAGGGAGCAAUAAGUCUUACGUGUAGGAUGAUGAGAGUACCUUACGAAUAAGCAUCGGCUAACUCCGUG